UUCUGUUAUAGAUCAGCAGCGUAACAUUAACCAGACAUCAGUCCCAAAUCAAUCUGCACAAUCUCAACCGGAAAACUUUCCUCUACAAUCUGAUUCUGAUCACAUUUAUGAUGACGUGACUGAAGUGAAUACGAGAGACAAAGAUGAUCCAGAGCUAUUUUUGGAGGUCACAUAUUCUGAGGUCACUGUUAAGAAAAAGAUGGACAGAGGUAAUACUAAGGCAGAGUCAAAUAAUGUGACAUACUCAGAAGUUGGAAAAAGAGGAAAGAAAUGCAAAAGUAA